GACAGAGGGUGCAAACGUUGUUCGGAAUUACUGGGCGUAAAGCGCGUGUAGGCGGUCCUGCAAGUCGGAUGUGAAAUCCCACGGCUCAACCAUGGAAGUGCAUUCGAAACUGCAGAGCUAGAGUCCUGGAGAGGAAGGUGGAAUGCUUGGUGUAGAGGUGAAAUUCGUAGAUAUCAAGCGGAACACCGGUGGCGAAGGCGGCCUUCUGGACAGUGACUGACGCUGAGACGCGAAAGCGUGGGGAGCAAACAGG
rnacentral:rRNA from 1 species